GGCCAUUUACCCAGCACAGCCAGGCAGUGUCUGCCGAGCCAGCAGUGGUCCUAAGCACGCGCCUGACUGCUUGUCCACCAUGAGCCUCAAGCCCACAGGCCCCUAGACCACAGACCAGCACCUGGGAUGACCCCUGAUGGACGUGCUGCUCUAAGUGAGCCCACAUGCCCAGACACACGGAGCUUGGUCCGGGUUCCUGGAUACCUCUUCCUGUCCUGAGACACAGGCUGCCUGGGCAGCAGAACCAACUGUGGAGUUGGAUGGACCUGCUCCCAAGACCAAAUAGCUGAAACAGGAGGGCCCUACGUGGCAGUCCCUGGGAUGAGAAAACCGUGUGUCAAAGCUGCUGCCGAGUCCCUCUCUAUUUUUACCUUCCUCACACUACCUCUUUGAGCCUGGAGGAGGCAUCCUGGCCUGAGGUGGCCCGAGCUGGCGUCUCCGAGGCAGAUUCAGCCAGCCCUCAGCUUGUUCUCCAGAAACCACUACCAAAAUGCCAGGCUGCCCAGUUCCCUGUCCUUACUGAUCAGAGGACUUGACCAGCAGCCGGGUAUCGACAUCGCUUCUGAAAUGACCACGUCCAGAGAGGAGCGCCUUGUUACAAACGCAGCAGCCCAGCUGACCACCAGGGAGUGAUCCAAGACCCUUCUCUGCAAGCUCACAGAGGUGGUGGCCACUAAGAGCCAACAACGUUCCACAGACUCCUACCCCAGCCUCCCUUUGCUGCAGAAGCCUGCCUUCUAGACCCCUCUGCAAGGAAGAACACUCCCCACCCACACCGGGGCCAGCUAGUGACUUUCCUCUGAUCUGUCAAGUCCCUCUUUAGGACUGUGCUUCCCCAGCUGCUCUCACAGUUGGUAAGGUCUAACUCCUAUAAUAAAUAUCUCAUGCCAUCA